AUACGUAUGUCGCAAGCGUUAUCCGGAUUUAUUGGGCGUAAAGCGCGUCUAGGCGGCUUAGUAAGUCUGAUGUGAAAAUGCGGGGCUCAACCCCGUAUUGCGUUGGAAACUGCUAAACUAGAGUACUGGAGAGGUAGGCGGAACUACAAGUGUAGAGGUGAAAUUCGUAGAUAUUUGUAGGAAUGCCGAUGGGGAAGCCAGCCUACUGGACAGAUACUGACGCUAAAGCGCGAAAGCGUGGGUAGCAAACAGGAUUAGAUACCCUGGUAGUCCACGCCGUAAACGAUGAUUACUAGGUGUUGGGGGUCGAACCUCAGCGCCCAAGCUAACGCGAUAAGUAAUCCGCCUGGGCAGUACGUACGCAAGUAUGAAACUCAAAUGAAUUGACGGGG
rnacentral:rRNA from 1 species